GAGAAAUGAAAAAUAUCUAUGGGUAUCUUAAAAAGAAUUUCAAUUUAAAGAGCAACAACAGUUUGGUUAGUUAGAAUGUUGAGUGUAGUAUAGCAGUUGUUGUCAAAGAAAUGAUUUAAAAAACUCUUUUAUUUCACUCACUUUAUUACAUAUUCGUUGUUAUAUUUUCCACUGUUUGAGUUAAUGAAGUUCACCCGAUCUACCUUUAUCGAUGGGAAUCUGUAAACCGUUGGCGCCGCGUUUUGAGUAAUACUUCACUUGGAUCACGUUAUGAUGGAGAGAUUUGCAUAUGUCGAUGGCAAUCUCGGCAGAAAAGUUUCCUUUUCUUUAUCAAAGUAAUUUCAUUAAAUCGUUCAUUUUACAUUAAUUUGUCACUGAGACUCAAACAAUAUAUUUAAUACACUCGCGGCAAAGAAGGUUCUCUGAAAUGCAAUGAAUGGCUGAAUAGUGUAAAACGUUGCUAUUUAAGGAAAACUUUGCUGCUUAAAGUUAUAUAUUAUGUAAGAUUUUUUUUUGCAAAUUGUAUUAAAAGUUUCUUUUCAUGAAAGUUAGUUUAAAAAAUUUUCAAUUGAAAGCAUCUGGAAGCAAGAGUUUGGGGGCGAUCGUAACGAAAGCGUGAAUCCCUUCGAAGAGAAAAUUUCUUAAUACAUUCAAGUGGACGGAACGGAGUUGCGUAAAGACAAUGGUAAUAGUUGACGUUCUUGAUAAUAAAAGUAAAUCCCUCCUUAGAGAAGGAUCCCAAAAAUUGAUAUCUGGGUGUAUGUCAUCGGAUUGCUUCACUAUAAUUUUGCCUGACACCACCUUUGUACAUUUAUUUGCUAUAGUUUAUGAGUAAUGAGCGAAAAAUAAAUUUUUUAUUCCUUUUUAAAAAACAGAGGUGUUCUCAGUUUGCUUGGUACUAUGGGCAGAUACUUCGACUGAUUUGGCCUACUGUCAAUACCAAUCGGCGUGCAAGAACUUUUAAUGGUUCUGCCAAAUUUGAAGUCGCCAAAGCAUAAUUUUUGCGGCCAGGAGAGGACAUUGCACAUUGCUUCCUUCCUCUUGGGCUUUGCAAAACAUUUUGGCAAAAUGAAUACAUAUCUCCAUCCUUCGUUGAUUGUUAUAAUAAAUUAAAUUAAUUUUAGUUUUGUGCACAUAAUGGUAGGUAUAGCAUAUACGAAUUUCGGGAAUUAAGUGAAGUGGAGGAUUGGAAUUUACCAGACAAAGUAGACAUUUGAGAAUUAUAUGAAAAAUCAGGAAAGAUAUUUAAAAAAGAAUUUUUUGUACUUUUUUCAAUUACGUGUAUAGCCACAAAAUUGUAAAUAAGAAAAUUGACUCGCAUGUAGAUAAUGUAGAGUCAAAUAUGAUUGCUUUACUAUAGUGUUACUACAAAGUGUCUCUCAAAUUGACCAAACUGACCAAACUGACAAUAGAAAAAGUCCUAUCUUAAACAGGAUCUGAAAGCUAAAAACAAUCAAAAAUUGUUGUUGAAGUAAGAAGGAUGAACAAAUGGAAGUGUACUCAUACCAGAGUACUCAACACAGAGCUGCCCGAUCCGCAUAAAUGCCGUAUGCUUAUAAAUAAACCUAAUAGAUUAAUAGAAAUAGAAAUUUUAUAUGAAAAUGGGCGAAACUGAAAAUUGAAGCAUUAAUUGUCAUUUAGUUUUGUCCUAGGGUAUUAUGCAUAUGCCAUUUUAUUUUAUUUCAUCCCGUCAUACGAUAUCCUUAACGCCUGAUUAUAAAUUUAUUAGUUAUUACUUUCGCCAAACUAUGAAAUUUAGUUUUAAUUAUGAAUUUGCAGCUUAUGACUUGGGUCGAUGCGUUUAUCGUUAAGGCGGCUGGUAGAAGUCAUGUGUAAGAUGUAUAUAUGUGAAGAAAAAAGUUAAAUUAAGUUGAAAAUGUGCUAAAGCUUAACUUCUGCUUGAAUGUUCGUGGCGUCCUAAUCACUACACUAUACGAUAAUAAAAUUGAACGAUUUCUUUAUAAGCUUUGAACUUUAAAGAAUGAAUGGGCAAUUUUUUCAGUCCCCUCUCUGUAACCAUACCUACGUAAACGGAAUCUUUACAAGAAGAAGGUAGAAAGGUAUAAUUUUCAAUAUUAUUUCAUGGUGAAAAUUAUUUCAUAAUAGUGCAUGGACAUAGAGAUCAACCUCAUUGAAAUUGAAGCAUAUAGGUGUACUGGUUGGAUAUCAAUGUAUAUAAGAAUUCUCAGGAAAUGUAAACCGAAACUGCGAUUGAAACUAAUCAAGCAAACACUAAAAUAAAUAAAU